GUGGGGAAUUUUGGACAAUGGGCGCAAGCCUGAUCCAGCAAUGCCGCGUGUGUGAAGAAGGCCUUCAGGUUGUAAAGCACUUUUGGCAGGAAAGAAAUAGUGCGUGCUAAUACCAUGCGCGAAUGACGGUACCUGCAGAAUAAGCACCGGCUAACUACGUGCCAGCAGCCGCGGUAAGACGUAGGGUGCAAGCGUUAAUCGGAAUUACUGGGCGUAAAGCGUGCGCAGGCGGUUUUGUAAGACAGGUGUGAAAUCCCCGGGCUCAACCUGGGAACUGCACGUGUGACUGCAAGGCUAGAGUGUGUCAGAGGGAGGUGGAAUUCCGCGUGUAGCAGUGAAAUGCGUAGAGAUGCGGAGGAACACCGAUGGCGAAGGCAGCCUCCUGGGAUAACACUGACGCUCAGGCACGAAAGCGUGGGGAGCAAACAGGAUUAGAUACCCCGGUAGUCC
rnacentral:rRNA from 1 species